GAGACAGGGUCUCAUCACGGGAGGCCGAAGUGAGUGGACUGCUUGAGCCCAGGAGUUUGAGACCAGCCUGGGCGACAUGGAGUCGAAGGUUUCAUCAGACUGCCAAGAGGUAUCUGUCAACUGCAAAGCAUGGGAAAAUACAUGGGAAGGAAAGGGGAAAGAGAAAUAAGCAAUCCAGCUACAAGCUCACCAGCUAUGCAA